UUAGAAAUUUUAAAAUAGCACGAAAAAUCAUAGGCUUCAGUAUAUAGAGCAUUUACCGAAAAAUUAAACAUUUUCGUAGGGGUUAACCAUAGAUUCUGAAAAAAAUUCAAAAAAUUGAAAAUUCUAUUUUAAUGCAUAGUUGCAUCCUUCACUAACAUAUUAUGAAGGUCAAAGAGGUUUGGGACUUUUGUUGUCUCCGUUUUUCUAGAGAAUAGCGAUUCCAUUGUGGUUAGUCAACAAAUUUCGGGAGUAUUAUGAAGUUUUACUAAAUUAAUGAACAAAAAAUUUAAACGACGCCCAUGUACCAUGAAAGAGAGUUUAAUAUACAUUAAUAAAAAUGUAGAAUGUGUUUAGGAAUUUUAAAACAGCACGAAAAAUCAUAGGCUUCAGUAUAUAGAGCAUUUACCGAAAACUUAAAUAUUUUCAUAGGGGUUAACACAUAGAUUUU